rnacentral:rRNA from 1 species
GACGAACGCUGGCGGCGUGCCUAACACAUGCAAGUCGAGCGAUGAAAUUCCUUCGGGGAUGGAUUAGCGGCGGACGGGUGAGUAACACGUGGGUAACCUGCCUCAAAGUGGGGGAUAGCCUUCCGAAAGGAAGAUUAAUACCGCAUAAUAUUAGAUUUUCGCAUGAAGAACUAAUUAAAGGAGCAAUUCGCUUUGAGAUGGACCCGCGGCGCGUUAGCUAGUUGGUGAGGUAAUAGCUCACCAAGGCGACGAUGCGUAGCCGACCUGAGAGGGUGAUCGGCCACAUUGGAACUGAGACACGGUCCAGACUCCUACGGGAGGCAGCAGUGGGGAAUAUUGCACAAUGGGGGAAACCCUGAUGCAGCAACGCCGCGUGAGUGAUGAAGGUCUUCGGAUUGUAAAGCUCUGUCUUUUGGGACGAUAAUGACGGUACCAAAGGAGGAAGCCACGGCUAACUACGUGCCAGCAGCCGCUGUAACAC